CAAUCUAGCUCAUCUAGCAUUCCAUUUUUGCUUCAGUUGUUCGCAGUGCCUCAUGAGGGGCGAGCAAACCCCUGCUGGAGAAGCAGGGCACGUGCUUGGUCGAUCGGCCGGCCGGCCGGCAGCCCGCUGCAUGUGUGCAUGGUCGAUCGCAGCACGUGCGCUCCUUCUCCAUCAUGGAUUCUCGCCCCGUCGAUCCAUCUCGGUUCGAACGCCCCCUAAUAAGCUAAUGGGUGGGAGAGCUAGCUCGAUCUCAUCAGCCAGCGGCGGAUCGACGGCGGAUGCGUUGUUGGUAAGAAAACACAGCACACAGGUGCUCCAUUUCUUGGUUAGGCAGGAAUUCUUAGAUGAGAUGAGAGUAGCUGGAAACUAAAGGUUGGUGGUGGUCAGUGGCAAGGUCAUAGAUGGUGCUCGACGAAUCCUUGACUUAGACAUUUGUCAUUGGAGCUCGUUGAAACUUCCAUGAAAUCUUUAGUUCUUGUGUGGUCACAAUCUUUUUUCGCUAGUAGGUUGUCCAAAGUAACACUAAGACGCAUCGAUUUGAACUGCUUCACCUGAAAUUGCCAAGUGGCGCCGUAUUAUAUGACCAUUCUCCUGUAGAAUUAAAGUUGAAUUCCUACAGUAUUAGGCACCUUUUUCAGCUUUGCAUAAAGAAAUGGUUAUUUUUCUACAGUAAGCUGUCAUUACAAGAUUCUUUUUAAGGAAACUACAACAAAAUUUUCAGUCUACCCCAAUGUAAGGUUCACUCGGUGGCCAGUAAGGUGUGCAGUAUAGCUGACCGGGGGAAUAGAACUAGCUAGGCUAGUUGGACUAGGGUCGUUAGGUAGCUCUAGCAGGCAUGGCUAGGUUUGGAUGCUUGAAGAUUAAUAUUUCGAGUAAAUUAUAUACAUACUAGUCCAGUGGUUCGAUCCAGCAGAAAAGUAAUUUAGACCCUAUUUGGAGCGAAUACGGAAGCCAUGGAUUUUUUGGUGGAUUGCGAUCAUGUAGCAAAAAUUACUGCAUGUUCUAAUAAAGGAUUGCACCAUAUGAAUUUUGGAGGAAAACAUAACAUGACGUCGGACCUAAUGUACAUUUUCUUUUGUACCUCUUUGAAUUUUUGUGUUGCAUCCAAAGCCUUCACUAAAAAUAUUCCUACGUUUUGAAUUCUUGUAGGACUGCCAAUUCGUGCAAAACUAGGCAUAUAAUCCGUGCAUUUUCUAUUUUUAAAGAUUAUACUAUUUGUUAUCAUACAUCACCCUGUUCAUUAUCGUAAAUUAUGUUUUAUUGUUGGUUAAAAAAUUCAAAUAUGAUCUACCUAUAAUAAUAAUUUGUUUUGUUGAGCUUUAAUAAUAUUAUGCAUCUAAUUAUUCUUAUUUUCUUUUUAUUUUGAUUGAUUGUUGUUAGCCUUAAUUUUUAUUAAUAGUAUGUUUGUAACUCAUACAUAGCUAGAUGGUAUUUUAUAUUUAUUUUUUCAUAAUGACAUUGGUGGGUGAUUUUUAAUUAGGCAUAAGGGUAUUUUAUGCUAAUUUUAUUAUAAUGACGGUGGUGGGUAAUUUUUAUUUUUUAUAUUUUUCUCCGAUUAACGUGAGAAUUUCUAGCCCUUGAGAGCGAAUGCGGAGGCUCCGUUUGUUGGCCAAAUAAUAAGAUAAUAGAUAAAUUAGUAUAUCCUAUGUUUAUUUUUAAUCCAGCACAUGAAAAUUCUGCAUUUCAAAACUGCUCUCAGAUACGGUCUUGUUUGGAUACAUCCAUUCUUUCUCAAUGCAUAUGGAGUGGAGUGGAAAAUAAAUUAUAAUUUUGCCGGCCAAUGCCUCCUAGUACGUAUAGAUUGAAAGGGGUGAUGAAGUAGGCGACUGAAACCUGGAAAUUAACAAAAAAACUCAGGAAUCAGGAGAUGCUUCUACGUGCAAGCAGAAGGCACCGAUCGGUGACCAGUGUUUUAGUACAUCCCAGUUCCCAGGGUGUCCAAUCGAUCAGAUGCUGGAGCUGGACAUCUGUUCCUCCACGAGUGGCCAAAUAAUUGUGUCUUCCAUUUCGCUGUUCCUAGCAUAGUCCCUAGCUUCUAAAAUCAGUACUAGCAUCAUCAUAUCGAAAUGCAUUAGUAUCAUCCAUUUCGUGACAAUUCCAAAUAUUUUCCACAUUGAGAUAGUGAAAGAUUGGACUAAUGUCAGAAUCCCAUGUUUAGGAACAUGGGUGCCCUAACCAACACGCGUGUAUACAAAGUGUUCAUUUCUCUGUCA